rnacentral:rRNA from 1 species
UACGAAGGGUGCUAGCGUUGCUCGGAAUUACUGGGCGUAAAGCGCACGUAGGCGGCUUUCUAAGUCGGGGGUGAAAUCCUGGAGCUCAACUCCAGAACUGCCUUCGAUACUGGAAAGCUCGAGUCCGGGAGAGGUGAGUGGAACUGCGAGUGUAGAGGUGAAAUUCGUAGAUAUUCGCAAGAACACCAGUGGCGAAGGCAGCUCACUGGCCCGGUACUGACGCUGAGGUGCGAAAGCGUGGGGAGCAAACAGG